rnacentral:rRNA from 1 species
AGUGAACGCUGGCGGUAGGCCUAACACAUGCAAGUCGAACGGCAGCACAGUAAGAGCUCGCUCUUACGGGUGGCGAGUGGCGGACGGGUGAGGAAUACAUCGGAAACUAAUUUUUCGUGGGGGAUAACGGAGGGACACAUACGCUAAUACCGCAUACGAUCUACGGGUGAAAGCAGGGGAGCUUGGCACCUUGGCUGACUGAAUGAGACGAUGCCGGAUUAGCUAGUUGGCGGGGUAAAGGCCCACCAAGGCGACGAUCCGUAGCUGAGCUGAGAGGAUGAUCAGCCACACUGGAACUGAGACACGGUCCAGACUCCUACGGGAGGCAGCAGUGGGGAAUAUUGGACAAUGGGCGCAAGCCUGAUCCAGCCAUACCGCGUGAGUGAAGAAGGCCUUCGGGUUGUAAAGCCCUUUUGUUGGGAAAGAAAAGCAGCAGAUUAAUACCCCGAUGUUCUGACGGUACCCAAAGAAUAAGCACCGGCUAACUUCGUG